rnacentral:rRNA from 1 species
CAGCAGCCGCGGUAAUACGAAGGGUGCAAGCGUUACUCGGAAUUACUGGGCGUAAAGCGUGCGUAGGUGGUUCGUUAAGUCUGAUGUGAAAGCCCUGGGCUCAACCUGGGAAUUGCAUUGGAUACUGGCGGGCUAGAGUGCGGUAGAGGAUGGCGGAAUUCCCGGUGUAGCAGUGAAAUGCGUAGAGAUCGGGAGGAACAUCUGUGGCGAAGGCGGCCAUCUGGACCAGCACUGACACUGAGGCACGAAAGCGUGGGGAGCAAACAGGAUUAGAUACCCUGGUAGUCCACGCCCUAAACGAUGCGAACUGGAUGUUGGGAGCAAUCUGGCUCUCAGUAUCGAAGCUAACGCGUUAAGUUCGCCGCCUGGGGAGUACGGUCGCAAGACUGAAACUCAAAG